rnacentral:rRNA from 1 species
CCUACGGGUGGCAGCAGUGAGGAAUAUUGGUCAAUGGGCGGAAGCCUGAACCAGCCAAGUAGCGUGCGGGAUGAAGGCCCUACGGGUCGUAAACCGCUUUUGCACGGGGAUAACACCCUCCACUUGUGGAGGUCUGCGGGUACCGUACGAAUAAGGGCCGGCUAAUUCCGUGCCAGCAGCCGCGGUAAUACGGAGGGUCCGAGCGUUAUCCGGAUUUAUUGGGGUUAAAGGGUGCGUAGGCGGGCGGUAAAGUCAGCGGUAAAAUCGCGGGGCUCAACCCCGGCGAGCCGUUGAAACGGGCUGUCUUGAGAUGGCGAGAGGUAUGCGGAAUGCGCGGUGUAGCGGUGAAAUGCUUAGAUAUUGCGCAGAACGCCGAUUGCGAAGGCAGCAUACCGGCUGCGAUCUGACGCUGAGGCACGAAAGCGUGGGUAUCGAACAGGAUUAGAUACCCGUGUAGUC